rnacentral:rRNA from 1 species
CCUACGGGAGGCAGCAGUGGGGAAUAUUGCGCAAUGGGCGGAAGCCUGACGCAGCGACGCCGCGUGAGGGAUGACGGCCUUCGGGUUGUAAACCUCUUUCAGCAGGGACGAAGCGAAAGUGACGGUACCUGCAGAAGAAGCACCGGCCAACUACGUGCCAGCAGCCGCGGUAAUACGUAGGGUGCAAGCGUUGUCCGGAAUUAUUGGGCGUAAAGAGCUCGUAGGCGGUUUGUCGCGUCGGCUGUGAAAGUCCGGAGCUCAACUCCGGGUCUGCAGUCGAUACGGGCAGACUUGAGUGUUGCAGGGGAGACUGGAAUUCCUGGUGUAGCGGUGAAAUGCGCAGAUAUCAGGAGGAACACCGGUGGCGAAGGCGGGUCUCUGGGCAACAACUGACGCUGAGGAGCGAAAGCGUGGGGAGCGAACAGGAUUAGAUACCCUGGUAGUCCACGCCGUAAACGUUGGGCGCUAGGUGUGGGGCCCAUUCCACGGUCUCCGUGCCGCNGCUACGCAUAGCGCCCGCCGUCGGGAGGUACGGCCGGCCGACGGACGUAAACCUACAAACUAGAAGUUAGUACGGCGUGAGACGUGCCGACGGACGACCGACGAGGGAGGUUAGG